GUGCACCAGUCGCGAAACCUCCGCAAUACACGAAAGUGUGACGGGCCAUCCCGAGUGCCGUCCGCUGAGGACGGCUUUUCCCCAGUGUACAUAGCUGGGGGAAUAAGGAGAGGGCAAGCCUGGUGUCAGCCGCCGCGGGUAAUACCAGCUCUCCGAGUGGUGGGACGCUUAUUGGGCCUAAAGGCAUCCGUAGCCGGCUGGGCAAGUCCUCCGUUAAAAUCCAACGAUUCAAUCGUUAGGCUGCGGGGAUACU
rnacentral:rRNA from 1 species